GAUGAAUAACGUAGCGAAAUGCGAUAACUAAUGUGAAUUGCAGAAUUCAGUGAAUCAUCGAGUCUUUGAACGCACAUUGCGCCCCCUGGUAUUCCGGGGGGCAUGCCUGUCCGAGCGUCAUUGCUGCCCUCAAGCACGGCUUGUGUGUUGGGCUCCGUCCCCCCGGGGACGGGCCCGAAAGGCAGCGGCGGCACCGAGUCCGGUCCUCGAGCAUAUGGGGCUUUGUCACCCGCUCUGUAGGCCCGGCCGGCGCCAGCCGACAACCCAUCAUCCUUUUCAGGUUGACCUCGGAUCAGGUAGGGAUACCCGCUGAACUUAAGCAUAUCAAUAAGCGGAGGA
rnacentral:misc_RNA from 1 species